AGGUGAAAAGCACCCCGGAAGGGGAGUGAAACAGUUCCUGAAACCGUGUGCCUACAAGUAGUUAGAGCCCGUUAAUGGGUGAUAGCGUGCCUUUUGUAGAAUGAACCGGCGAGUUACGAUUUGUUGCAAGGUUAAGCGGAAAAAGCGGAGCCGUAGCGAAAGCGAGUCUGAAUAGGGCGCAUAAGUAACAGGUCGUAGACCCGAAACCAGGUGAUCUACCCAUGUCCAGGAUGAAGGUAAGGUAAUACUUACUGGAGGUCCGAACCCACGCACGUUGAAAAGUGCGGGGAUGAGGUGUGGGUAGCGGAGAAAUUCCAAUCGAACUUGGAGAUAGCUGGUUCUCUCCGAAAUAGCUUUAGGGCUAGCCUCGAGGUAAAGAGUCAUGGAGGUAGAGCACUGUUUGGACUAGGGGCCCUUCUCGGGUUACCGAAUUCAGAUAAACUCCGAAUGCCAUGUACUUAUACUCGGGAGUCAGACUGCGAGUGAUAAGAUCCGUAGUCGAAAGGGAAACAGCCCAGACCACCAGUUAAGGUCCCCAAAUAUAUGUUAAGUGGAAAAGGAUGUGGGGUUGCUUAGACAACCAGGAUGUUGGCUUAGAAGCAGCCACCAUUGAAAGAGUGCGUAAUAGCUCACUGGUCGAGUGACCCCGCGCCGAAAAUGUACCGGGGCUAAACAUAUUACCGAAAC
rnacentral:rRNA from 1 species